UGAUUUGUCUGGUUAAUUCCGUUAACGAACGAGACCCCCGCCUGCUAAAUAGCCCCUGGUACGCAUUUGCGUAGCGGCGGCGCUUCUUAGAGGGACUUUCAGUGAUUAACUGAAGGAAGUUGGGGGCAAUAACAGGUCUGUGAUGCCCUUAGAUGUCCUGGGCCGCACGCGCGCUACACUGACACCUGCAACGAGCGUAGAACCUUGGCCGAGAGGCCUGGGUAAUCUUUGGAACGGGUGUCGUGAUAGGGACAGAUUAUUGCAAUUAUUAAUCUCGAACGAGGAAUUCCUAGUAAACGCGAAUCAUCAGUUCGCAUUGAUUACGUCCCUGCCCUUUGUACACACCGCCCGUCGCUCCUACCGAUUGAAUGGUCCGGUGAAGUGUUCGGAUCGCG
rnacentral:rRNA from 1 species